CAGCUUCGCCGCGCGGCGCGGGCUCCAGCCAGGUGCGGAGGUACCUGCUCUCGGCCGGCGGGACGCCCUGGGGCUGCAGCACUGUUCCUGGGAGGGGUUGGCCAAGAGACGCCAGGGAUGGAAGACAGUCAGGCUCCAGGCCCCGGGUGGCUGUGCAGGUUUGUGAGAGGCCCAGAGAGAAGUAAGGAGCCCUGGUGGAUGGGGACCCUGGGCCCAGCGCCAGACCUGGGCAAGGCCUCACUGAUACACCUGCCCAGUCACCGCCUCUCCGCCUCCCUCUCUGCAGCUACAGGUCUCCACAGAUAAGAUUUCUCACCUUGGAAUUGUUAUCAAGGGGCGUCUACACUCGCCGGCGCUAGUGCCUGUAUUCCAGGGUCACUCAGGGCAGCUCUGAGAGGCCAAAGCCCUGCUUUGAGCCUGCAGUCGAGACAGUGGAGGGGAGUGCUGAGAAAGUGGCUGCAGGAGACAUAGACGGAAAAGCAGAGUGUGAGAAAGUACCAGGAACACUAGGGAGCCAACAGAAGAGUAUGACUGGCACAGGAAGCGGGUUGACCUGAAGAGUCGCUGCGCUGCGAAGUCACCCUGCCAGAAAUAUCCUGGGGGUGCCCCCUGGCUCCGCAGAGGCUGAGCUGCCCCAGGUAAGACUGUCCAUUCCGAAUUCAUAAACGAACCUGAGAGGCUGAGGACUCCGACUGGGACGCAGAGAACAAGUUUGCAUCUUCCUUUCCUGGCCUUCAUUCAGCCUGGGCCCUUCGCUCCCCGCCCCCACCGAUGUCCCCCUCCAGCCACCUCUCCCCCUCCAGACACCCACAGCGUCGCAGGUGCUCACGCACACGCCC